rnacentral:rRNA from 1 species
UGGGGAAUUUUGGACAAUGGGCGAAAGCCUGAUCCAGCAAUGCCGCGUGUGUGAAGAAGGCCUUCGGGUUGUAAAGCACUUUUGUCCGGAAAGAAAUCCUUGGCUCUAAUACAGUCGGGGGAUGACGGUACCGGAAGAAUAAGCACCGGCUAACUACGUGCCAGCAGCCGCGGUAAUACGUAGGGUGCAAGCGUUAAUCGGAAUUACUGGGCGUAAAGCGUGCGCAGGCGGUUUGCUAAGACCGAUGUGAAAUCCCCGGGCUCAACCUGGGAACUGCAUUGGUGACUGGCAGGCUAGAGUAUGGCAGAGGGGGGUAGAAUUCCACGUGUAGCAGUGAAAUGCGUAGAGAUGUGGAGGAAUACCGAUGGCGAAGGCAGCCCCCUGGGCCAAUACUGACGCUCAUGCACGAAAGCGUGGGGAGCAAACAGGAUUAGAUACCCUGGUAGUCCACGCCCUAAAACGAUGUCAACUAGUUGUUGGGGAUUCAUUUCCUUAGUAACGUAGCUAACGCGUGAAGUUGACCGCCUGGGGAGUACGGUCGCAAGAUUAAAACUUAAAGGAAUUGACGGGGUCAUAGCUG